UACGUAGGGUGCGAGCGUUAAUCGGAAUUACUGGGCGUAAAGCGUGCGCAGGCGGUUUUGUAAGCCAGAUGUGAAAUCCCCGGGCUUAACCUGGGAAUGGCAUUUGGGACUGCAAGGCUUGAGUGCGGCAGAGGAGACUGGAAUUCCUGGUGUAGCAGUGAAAUGCGUAGAUAUCAGGAGGAACACCGAUGGCGAAGGCAAUCCCCUGGACCUGUACUGACGCUCAUGCACGAAAGCGUGGGGAGCAAACAGG
rnacentral:rRNA from 1 species